rnacentral:rRNA from 1 species
CACAGGUGCUGCAUGGCUGUCGUCAGCUCGUGUCGUGAGAUGUUGGUUAAGUCCCGCAACGAGCGCAACCCUUGUCAUUAGUUGCUACAUUCAGUUGGGCACUCUAAUGAGACUGCCGGUGACAAGCCGGAGGAAGUGGGGAUGACGUCAAGUCCUCAUGGCCCUUAUAGGUGGGGCUACACACGUCAUACAAUGGCUGGUACAAAGGGUUGCCAACCCGCGAGGGGGAGCCAAUCCCAUAAAGCCAGUCGUAGUCCGGAUCGUAGUCUGCAACUCGACUACGUGAAGUCGGAAUCGCUAGUAAUCGUGGAUCAGAAUGUCACGGUGAAUACGUUCCCGGGUCUU